GAGAGAAGGAAUCCUCUGCAGCAAGCACAGCUGUGUAACAGGCCUUCGAUCCAACAGCAGAGCUGAGUCGGGCAUAUUGGAGCCAUCUCAUUCUCCUUUAGCAAUCUGACACGACUUUCUGCAGCUACUUCCAAAAACUUCCCCUCGUUUUGCUUAGAUUGGGGAUGGGAUGAGGACAGAAAAUGAGAGGUCUACAAAAAAGUAUUUUUUCCUUCAUUUAUUGAUUAUAAAUUCAAGCAUUUACUAAGUGCUCUUGAUGGGUCCGGGCACUGCGCUCAAGGUCUUAUGUGCAUUCACUCUCUUAAUUCUUACAAUAACCAUCAAGUGGAUCAAUUUUCAACCUCCAUUUAACAGUUGAGGAAACUGAGCCUUUGGAGAGGUUAAGACACUUGUCCAAAGGUCACAUAGUAAGAGGCAAAGCACCGGGGAAGAUAAUAGAAGAUAAGAAACCUGCUAGAUGCUUGGAGGUCAAAUCUCCAUUUCCUCCAGCUCCUUUUGGACCUUGCCCCUCCCGCAGACAACCGGUAUGAAUCCCUUUCUCUUCAUUCCCAGGUGUAGGGAGGUAAGACAACAAUUACAAACCACACAUUUCUACCCUCUGGCAGAAUAUGAUCAAUAGUAAGCUAAAUCCUAUGGUUUAGUUUUAGACUUCAAGGUCUGAUUGCUUUGGGGGCUUCAUUCUUGAUAUUUUGAAUUUAUUAUGUAUAACUAUGUAUAUAUGCAUGCAUACAUAUCGAUUUAAGUCCAUACCUCCCCUUAAGUACUUUAGUGAAUCUUAUAAUCCCGUGAUAAAGCCCAACCUCUUAGCAUGCCCGGGAUCUCCUACCCUCCUUCUUUGUCUGGUUGACCCUUCUUCUCUGUAUGGAUUCAGCUCAGCAUACAUCAU